AGGUCAUUUCAAAGAGAGCUUUUUGGAUUAAACCAGGAGCUCUUAACGCUGUGACCAAAGAUGAAGUUCUCCCUGAGAUGUGAUCAGCACUGAGUAGUGCUGUGUAUUCUUGGGAUGAGACAAGA
ensembl:snoRNA